rfam:Gossypium raimondii Chr06_contig_397, whole genome shotgun sequence.
GGGUGUGAUCAUACCAGCACUAAUGCAUUGGAUCCCAUUAGAACUUUGCAGUUAAGCAUGCUUGGGCGAGAGUAGAACUAGGAUGGGUGAUCUCCUGGGAAGUCAUCGUGUUGCAUCCC